AUGGCUUUUUUUUUUUCUUUUUCAUUUCCUAAAAGCUGCCUGUGUGAUGGACGGCAGUGUGUGGAAGAAAUUUGUGAGGCAGUGACUAGCCGGUGGAUUGCUGAAGCAAAAGGACACGGUACUUACUCUUCAAUAAGCAAAAUUGGUGGGGGAUGUGGUACAGAACGGCAACCAGGGACCUGCUUCUACCUGGCUCCCAGGACCACUGGUAGCCCUGGAAAGGAGAAAUCUCCAAUAAUAGAAAUAUCAUUUUCAGCUGGAGACAUAGCAGCCCCUCUGGCCUCCCUGCCUCCUUGGAGUUGGGUGUGA
rnacentral:lncRNA from 1 species